CCGACAGAGGGGGGGGCCUAAAAUGCAGUCGAGCGGAGACGGGAGCUUGCUCCUUGAUUCAGCGGCGGACGGGUGAGUAAUGCCUAGGAAUCUGCCUGGUAGUGGGGGACAACGUUUCGAAAGGAACGCUAAUACCGCAUACGUCCUACGGGAGAAAGCAGGGGACCUUCGGGCCUUGCGCUAUCAGAUGAGCCUAGGUCGGAUUAGCUAGUUGGUGGGGUAAUGGCUCACCAAGGCGACGAUCCGUAACUGGUCUGAGAGGAUGAUCAGUCACACUGGAACUGAGACACGGUCCAGACUCCUACGGGAGGCAGCAGUGGGGAAUAUUGGACAAUGGGCGAAAGCCUGAUCCAGCCAUGCCGCGUGUGUGAAGAAGGUCUUCGGAUUGUAAAGCACUUUAAGUUGGGAGGAAGGGCAUUAACCUAAUACGUUAGUGUUUUGACGUUACCGACAGAAUAAGCACCGGCUAACUCUGUGCCAGCAGCCGCGGUAAUACAGAGGGUGCAAGCGUUAAUCGGAAUUACUGGGCGUAAAGCGCGCGUAGGUGGUUUGUUAAGUUGGAUGUGAAAGCCCCGGGCUCACCUGGGAACUGCAUCCAAAACUGGCAAGCUAGAGUACAGUAGAGGGUGGUGGAAUUUCCUGUGUAGCGGUGAAAUGCGUAGAUAUAGGAAGGAACACCAGUGGCGAAGGCGACCACCUGGACUGAUACUGACACUGAGGCGCGAAAGCGUGGGGAGCAAACAGGAUUAGAUACCCUGGUAGUCCACGCCGUAAACGAUGUCAACUAGCCGUUGGAAUCCUUGAGAUUUUAGUGGCGCAGCUAACGCAUUAAGUUGACCGCCUGGGGAGUACGGCCGCAAGGUUAAAACUCAAAUGAAUUGACGGGGGCCCGCACAAGCGGUGGAGCAUGUGGUUUAAUUCGAAGCAACGCGAAGAACCUUACCAGGCCUUGACAUGCAGAGAACUUUCCAGAGAUGGAUUGGUGCCUUCGGGAACUCUGACACAGGUGCUGCAUGGCUGUGGUCAGCUCGUGUCGUGAGAUGUUGGGUUAAGUCCCGUAACGAGCGCAACCCUUGUCCUUAGUUACCAGCACGUUAUGGUGGGGCACUCUAAGGAGACUGCCGGGUGACAACCCCGAAGGAAGGUGGGGGAUGACGUCAAGUCAUCAUGGCCCUUACGGGCCUGGGCUA
rnacentral:rRNA from 1 species